rnacentral:rRNA from 1 species
CGCUAGCUACAGGCUUAACACAUGCAAGUCGAGGGGCAGCAUGGUCUUAGCUUGCUAAGGCCGAUGGCGACCGGCGCACGGGUGAGUAACACGUAUCCAACCUGCCGUCUACUCUUGGACAGCCUUCUGAAAGGAAGAUUAAUACAAGAUGGCAUCAUGAGUCCGCAUGUUCACAUGAUUAAAGGUAUUCCGGUAGACGAUGGGGAUGCGUUCCAUUAGAUAGUAGGCGGGGUAACGGCCCACCUAGUCUUCGAUGGAUAGGGGUUCUGAGAGGAAGGUCCCCCACAUUGGAACUGAGACACGGUCCAAACUCCUACGGGAGGCAGCAGUGAGGAAUAUUGGUCAAUGGGCGAGAGCCUGAACCAGCCAAGUAGCGUGAAGGAUGACUGCCCUAUGGGUUGUAAACUUCUUUUAUAAAGGAAUAAAGUCGGGUAUGGAUACCCGUUUGCAUGUACUUUAUGAAUAAGGAUCGGCUAACUCCGUGCCAGCAGCCGCGGUAAUACGGAGGAUCCGAGCGUUAUCCGGAUUUAUUGGGUUUAAAGGGAGCGUAGAUGGAUGUUUAAGUCAGUUGUGAAAGUUUGCGGCUCAACCGUAAAAUUGCAGUUGAUACUGGAUAUCUUGAGUGCAGUUGAGGCAGGCGGAAUUCGUGGUGUAGCGGUGAAAUGCUUAGAUAUCACGAAGAACUCCGAUUGCGAAGGCAGCCUGCUAAGCUGCAACUGACAUUGAGGCUCGAAAGUGUGGGUAUCAAACAGGAUUAGAUACCCUGGUAGUCCACACGGUAAACGAUGAAUACUCGCUGCUUGCGAUAUACUGCAAGCGGCCAAGCGAAAGCGUUAAGUAUUCCACCUGGGGAGUACGCCGGCAACGGUGAAACUCAAAGGAAUUGACGGGGGCCCGCACAAGCGGAGGAACAUGUGGUUUAAUUCGAUGAUACGCGAGGAACCUUACCCGGGCUUAAAUUGCAGAUGAAUUACGGUGAAAGCCGUAAGCCGCAAGGCAUCUGUGAAGGUGCUGCAUGGUUGUCGUCAGCUCGUGCCGUGAGGUGUCGGCUUAAGUGCCAUAACGAGCGCAACCCUUGUUGUCAGUUACUAACAGGUUCCGCUGAGGACUCUGACAAGACUGCCAUCGUAAGAUGUGAGGAAGGUGGGGAUGACGUCAAAUCAGCACGGCCCUUACGUCCGGGGCUACACACGUGUUACAAUGGGGGGUACAGAGGGCCGCUACCACGCGAGUGGAUGCCAAUCCCCAAAACCUCUCUCAGUUCGGACUGGAGUCUGCAACCCGACUCCACGAAGCUGGAUUCGCUAGUAAUCGCGCAUCAGCCACGGCGCGGUGAAUACGUUCCCGGGCCUUGUACACACCGCCCGUCAAGCCAUGGGAGCCGGGGGUACCUGAAGUGCGUAACCGCGAGGAGCGCCCUAGGGUAAAACUGGUGACUGGGGCU